rnacentral:misc_RNA from 1 species
GAUGAAGAACGCAGUGAAAUGCGACAAGUAAUGUGAAUUGCAGAAUUCAGUGAGUCAUCGAAUCUUUGAACGCACAUUGCGCCCUGUGGUAUUCCGCAGGGCAUGCCUGUUCGAGCGUCAUUUCAACCCUCAAGCUCUGCUUGGUGUUGGGCCCUGCCCGCUGCGGCCGGCCCUAAAGACAGUGGCGGUGCCGCCUGGCCCUGAGCGUAGUACAUCUCUCGCUCCAGUGCCCGGUGGUAGCCUGCCAGAACCCCAACUCUCGUGGUUGACCUCGGAUCAGGUAGGGAUACCCGCUGAACUUAAGCAUAUCAAUAAGCGGAGGA